rnacentral:rRNA from 1 species
GAUGAACGCUGGCGGCGUGCUUAACACAUGCAAGUCGAACGAAGCAUUUAAGACAGAUUACUUCGGUUUGAAGUCUUUUAUGACUGAGUGGCGGACGGGUGAGUAACGCGUGGGUAACCUGCCUCAUACAGGGGGAUAGCAGCUGGAAACGGCUGGUAAUACCGCAUAAGCGCACAGUACCACAUGGUACAGUGUGAAAAACUCCGGUGGUAUGAGAUGGACCCGCGUCUGAUUAGCUUGUUGGCGGGGUAACGGCCCACCAAGGCGACGAUCAGUAGCCGACCUGAGAGGGUGACCGGCCACACUGGAACUGAGACACGGUCCAGACUCCUACGGGAGGCAGCAGUGGGGAAUCUUCCGCAAUGGGCGAAAGCCUGACGGAGCAACGCCGCGUGAGUGAUGACGGCCUCGGUUGUAAAACUACUGUGAUCCGGGACG